rnacentral:rRNA from 1 species
UACGGAGGGUGCAAGCGUUAAUCGGAAUUACUGGGCGUAAAGCGUGCGCAGGCGGUUUGUUAAGUCCGCUGUGAAAUCCCCGAGCUCAACUUGGGAAUUGCAGUGGAUACUGGCAAGCUGGAGUAUGGUAGAGGAAGGUGGAAUUCCCGGUGUAGCAGUGAAAUGCGUAGAGAUCGGGAGGAACACCAGUGGCGAAGGCGGCCUUCUGGACCAAUACUGACGCUCAUGCACGAAAGCGUGGGAGCAAACAGG